rnacentral:misc_RNA from 1 species
GAUGAAGAACGUAGCGAAAUGCGAUACGUAAUGUGAAUUGCAGAAUUCAGUGAAUCAUCGAGUCUUUGAACGCACAUUGCGCCCCCUGGUAUUCCGGGGGGCAUGCCUGUCCGAGCGUCAUUGCUGCCCUCAAGCACGGCUUGUGUGUUGGGCCUCCGUCCUCCUCCCGGGGGACGGGCCCGAAAGGCAGCGGCGGCACCGCGUCCGGUCCUCGAGCGUAGUAAUUCUUCUCGCUCUGGAGGUCCGGUCGUGUGCUCGCCAGCAACCCCCAAUUUUUUUCAGGUUGACCUCGGAUCAGGUAGGGAUACCCGCUGAACUUAAGCAUAUCAAUAAGCGGAGGA